GGACCUGACAGCUAUCGGAUUGAUACUAAGCCAUGCGAGUCAUUGUAGCAAUACAAGGCAUACGGCUCAGUAACGCGUAGUCAACCUAACCUAUGGACGGGAAUAACCUCGGGAAACUGAGAAUAAUGCCCGAUAGAACAUUAUGCCUGGAAUGGUUUAUGUUCCAAAUGAUUUAUCGCCGUAGGAUGGGACUGCGGCCUAUCAGUUUGUUGGUGAGGUAAUGGCCCACCAAGACUAUUACAGGUACGGGCUCUGAGAGGAGUAGCCCGGAGAUGGGUACUGAGACACGGACCCAGGCCCUAUGGGGCGCAGCAGGCGAGAAAACUUUGCAAUGUGCGAAAGCACGACAAGGUUAAUCCGAGUGGUUUCUGCUAAAGAAACCUUUUGUCAGUCCUAGAAACACUGAUGAAUAAGGGGUGGGCAAGUUCUGGUGUCAGCC
rnacentral:rRNA from 1 species